rnacentral:rRNA from 1 species
GGGUUGUGAGGUUAAGCGACUAAGCGUACACGGUGGAUGCCCUGGCAGUCAGAGGCGAUGAAGGACGUGCUAAUCUGCGAAAAGCGUCGGUAAGGUGAUAUGAACCGUUAUAACCGGCGAUGUCCGAAUGGGGAAACCCAGUGUGAUUCGUCACACUAUCGUUAACUGAAUACAUAGGUUAACGAGGCGAACCGGGGGAACUGAAACAUCUAAGUACCCCGAGGAAAAGAAAUCAACCGAG